CAGGCCUAACACAUGCAAGUCGAGGGGCAGCAUGAUCUUAGCUUGCUAAGAUUGAUGGCGACCGGCGCACGGGUGAGUAACGCGUAUCCAACCUUCCCCUUAGUAGGGCAUAGCCCGUAGAAAUGCGGAUUAAUACCCUAUGUUGUAUAUUGAGGACAUCUGAUUUAUACCAAAGGUUUACCGCUAAGGGAUGGGGAUGCGUCUGAUUAGGUUGUUGGCGGGGCAACGGCCCACCAAGCCGACGAUCAGUAGGGGUUCUGAGAGGAAGGUCCCCCACAUUGGAACUGAGACACGGUCCAAACUCCUACGGGAGGCAGCAGUGAGGAAUAUUGGUCAAUGGACGAGAGUCUGAACCAGCCAAGUAGCGUGCAGGAUGACGGCCCUAUGGGUUGUAAACUGCUUUUAUACGGGGAUAAAGUGACCCACGUGUGGGUUUUUGUAGGUACCGUAUGAAUAAGGACCGGCUAAUUCCGUGCCAGCAGCCGCGGUAAUACGGAAGGUCCGGGCGUUAUCCGGAUUUAUUGGGUUUAAAGGGAGCGCAGGCCGAUGGUUAAGCGUGACGUGAAAUGUAGCCGCUCAACGGCUGAACUGCGUCGCGAACUGGCUGUCUUGAGUGAGUUCGAUGUGGGCGGAAUUCGUGGUGUAGCGGUGAAAUGCUUAGAUAUCACGAAGAACUCCGAUUGCGAAGGCAGCCCACAAGGCCUUUACUGACGCUAAAGCUCGAAGGUGCGGGUAUCGAACAGGAUUAGAUACCCUGGUAGUCCGCACGGUAAACGAUGGAUGCCCGCUGUUUGCGAUAUACUGUGAGCGGCCAAGAGAAAUCGUUAAGCAUCCCACCUGGGGAGUACGCCGGCAACGGUGAAACUCAAAGGAAUUGACGGGGGCCCGCACAAGCGGAGGAACAUGUGAUUUAACUCGAAGCAACGCGAAGAACCUUACCGGGUCUUGACAUCGAGUGACCGGUGCAGAGAUGCACCUUUCUCUUCGGAGACACGAAGACAGGUGGUGCAUGGUUGUCGUCAGCUCGUGUCGUGAGAUGUUGGGUUAAGUCCCGCAACGAGCGCAACCCUUAUGAUUAGUUGCUACGCAAGAGCACUCUAAUCAGACUGCCGUUGACAAAACGGAGGAAGGUGGGGAUGACGUCAAAUCAUCAUGCCCUUUAUGACCCGGGCCUCACACGUACUACAAUGGCGUUGAACAAAGAGAAGCAAAACCGCGAGGUGGAGCAAAUCUCGAAAAAACGUCUCAGUUCAGAUUGCAGGCUGCAACUCGCCUGCAUGAAGUCGGAACUGCUAGUAAUCGCGGAUCAGCAUGCCGCGGUGAAUACGUUCCCGG
rnacentral:rRNA from 1 species